GUGCUUGCUUUGGAAGCACAUGCACUAAAAUGGGAAUGACAAAGAGAAGAUUAGCAUGGACCCUGCAAAUUUGAGAAGUGUUCCAUAUUUUU
ensembl:snRNA U6 U6 spliceosomal RNA